rnacentral:rRNA from 1 species
AUUGAACGCUGGCGGAAUGCUUUACACAUGCAAGUCGAACGGUAGAGGGGGCAACCCCUCGAGAGUGGCGAACGGGUGAGUAAUAUAUCGGAACGUGCCCAGUCGUGGGGGAUAACGUAGCGAAAGUUACGCUAAUACCGCAUACGAUCUAAGGAUGAAAGCGGGGGAUCGCAAGACCUCGCGCGAUUGGAGCGGCCGAUCACAGAUUAGGUAGUUGGUGGGGUAAAGGCUCACCAAGCCAACGAUCUGUAGCUGGUCUGAGAGGACGACCAGCCACACUGGAACUGAGACACGGUCCAGACUCCUACGGGAGGCAGCAGUGGGGAAUUUUGGACAAUGGACGCAAGUCUGAUCCAGCCAUUCCGCGUGCAGGAUGAAGGCCCUCGGGUUGUAAACUGCUUUUGUACGGAACGAAAAGGUCUCUCUUAAUACGGGGGGCUCAUGACGGUACCGUAAGAAUAAGCACCGGCUAACUACGUGCCAGCAGCCGCCGCGG